AUCACGUCGUCACCGUCGUUGCCUGCCAUUGCCGCCUGCGCAGUUGUUCGAGGUAUCUUCUCUGUCGUCUUCUCCCUCUUAACCGAGACGCUCUUCCUGCAGUGUGCGCUCGAUCCCGCGCAACUCUCUCUCCACCAUCGCCGCCCGCGCCGUCAUCAUGGCUCCCUUCUGGACUAACGUGUUGAACUACACGUACGCCCGCGGCUUCAUCCGCAUUCCCAUUGUGCUGGCGCUGCCUAUCUUCUUCAACAAGUAUGUUCUGUACGCGUACGAGGACGCAUUCAAGCGCUGGAACGCCGGCCACAAUCAGGUGGACAUCUGGAACCGCCUCCAGGAAAAGGUGGCUGCGGAUGCUGAGUAAGAGGCAACAGAGCUCACGCCGCGCGGCCUUUGUGCCUCCCCUCUCUCUGUCUCUCUCCAUAUCCCGCAUGGCCGGUGCGGUGGACGGUGAGCAGCACUAGCGAACGGCGAGAGAGUGGGAAGCGUCUUCUCUGUUCGCGCGUCAAACGGCUGCCGCCCACGUGAUGUGCAAAGGGCGGACAUCUUCGUUCACCGGCCGUCAGGGCGGGGGCGGCAAAAGGCGCAGUUCUUUAGGCCGCGGCUGCUGCACCUCUUUCUCCCCUUUCUCUCCUCCUGCCUCUCUCGUGUGAUAAGUCGUGUGUGUGCGCGUGCGCGCGAUAUGCGGCGUAUGGCGGUCUCGGUGCUGUGCGAAGCGCUUAGCCAUUAGGAAUCUCACUUCUCUUGCCUUUCCCUUCGUAGCGGAUUCGAAUUCGAU
rnacentral:misc_RNA from 1 species